AACGAACGCUGGCGGCAGGCCUAACACAUGCAAGUCGAGCGAGGACUUCGGUCCUAGCGGCGGACGGGUGAGUAACGCGUGGGAACGUGCCCUUUGCUUCGGAAUAGCCCUGGGAAACUGGGAGUAAUACCGGAUGAGCCCUGUGGGGGAAAGAUUUAUCGGCGAAGGAUCGGCCCGCGUUGGAUUAGGUAGUUGGUGGGGUAAUGGCCUACCAAGCCGACGAUCCAUAGCUGGUUUGAGAGGAUGAUCAGCCACACUGGGACUGAGACACGGCCCAGACUCCUACGGGAGGCAGCAGUGGGGAAUCUUAGACAAUGGGGGAAACCCUGAUCUAGCCAUGCCGCGUGAGCGAUGAAGGCCUUAGGGUUGUAAAGCUCUUUCAGCUGGGAAGAUAAUGACGGUACCAGCAGAAGAAGCCCCGGCUAACGCCG
rnacentral:rRNA from 1 species